CGGACGGGUGAGUAACGCGUGGAGCAACCUGCCUCAAACAGGGGGAUAACGCAUCGGAAAGAUGUGCUAAUACCGCGGUAAGACCACAGCAUCACAUGGUGCAGGGGUCAAAGGAGCAAUCCGGUUUGAGAUGGGCUCGCGUCCGAUUAGCUAGUUGGUGAGACAACAGCCCACCAAGGCGACGAUCGGUAGCCGACCUGAGAGGGUGAUCGGCCACAUUGGAACUGAGAGACGGUCCAGACUCCUACGGGAGGCAGCAGUGGGGAAUAUUGGGCAAUGGGCGAAAGCCUGACCCAGCAACGCCGCGUGAGGGAAGAAGGGUUUCGGCUCGUAAACCUCUGUCCUAUGGGACGAAGGAAGUGACGGUACCAUAGGAGGAAGCCCCGGCUAACUACGUGCCAGCAGCCGCGGUAAUACGUAGGGGGCGAGCGUUGUCCGGAAUGAUUGGGCGUAAAGGGCGCGUAGGCGGCCUGGUAAGUCCGGAGUGAAAGUCCUGCUUUUAAGGUGGGAAUUGCUUUGGAUACUGUCGGGCUUGAGUGCAGGAGAGGGAAGCGGAAUUACCGGUGUAGCGGUGAAAUGCGUAGAGAUCGGUAGGAACACCAGUGGCGAAGGCGGCUUUCUGGACUGAAACUGACGCUGAGGCGCGAAAGCGUGGGGAAGCAAACAGGAUUAGAUACCCUGGUAGUCCACGCGGUAAAACGAUGAGUGCUAGGUGUAGGAGGUAUCGACCCC
rnacentral:rRNA from 1 species